rnacentral:misc_RNA from 1 species
UGUGGGAGCGGGCUUGCCCGCGAAGACGGAGUGUCAGUCAAAAUGAUGUCGGCUGACAGGUCGCCAUCGCGGGCAAGCCCGCUCCCACA